UUUUUUCCUGUAGCAAUACAGGGAAACGUCUAGCGGCGAACGGGUGCUUAACACGUGGGCAAUCUGCCGAGAAGUGGGGGAUAGCUCGCCGAAAGGCGAAUUAAUACCGCAUGUGAUCAGAGUGGACAUCCAUUCAAAAUCAAAGUCGGGGCAACCUGACGCUUCUUGAGGAGCCCGCGGCCUAUCAGCUAGUUGGUGAGGUAACGGCCCACCAAGGCUUUGACGGGUAGCUGGUCUGAGAGGACGACCAGCCACACUGGGACUGAGACACGGCCCAGACACCUACGGGUGGCAGCAGUCGAGAAUUUUUCUCAAUGGGGGAAACCCUGAAGGAGCGACGCCGCGUGGAGGAUGAAGGUCUUCGGGUUGUAAACUCCUGUCAUUUGGGAACAAGGCGCAAAUAUUAACUGUAUUUGCGUUGAUAGUACCAGAAGAGGAAGAGACGGCUAACUCUGUGCCAGCAGCCGCGGUAAUACAGAGGUCUCAAGCGUUGUUCGGAUUCAUUGGGCGUAAAGGGUGCGUAGGCGGCGCGGUAAGUCGGGUGUGAAAUCUUGGAGCUUAACUCCGAAACUGCAUUCGAUACUGCCGUGCUUGAGGACUGGAGAGGAGACUGGAAUUUACGGUGUAGCGGUGAAAUGCGUAGAUAUCGUAAGGAAGACCAGUGGCGAAGGCGGGUCUCUGGACAGUUCCUGACGCUGAGGCACGAAGGCCAGGGGAGCAAACGGGAUUAGAUACCCCGGUAGUCCUGGCAGUAAACGGUGCACGUUUGGUGUGGGAGGAUUCGA
rnacentral:rRNA from 1 species